GGCGCAGGGUGCGUAACGCGUGGGAAGUCUGCCCUUGGGAUUCGGAAUAACAGCGAGAAAUAGAUGCUAAUACCGGAUAAUGACGUAAGUCCAAAGAUUUAUCGCCCAGGGAUGAGCCCGCGUAGGAUUAGCUAGUUGGUGGGGUAAAGGCCUACCAAGGCGACGAUCCUUAGCUGGUCUGAGAGGAUUGGCCCCCACAUGGGUACUGAGAGACGGACCCAACUCCUACGGGAGGCAGCAGUAGGGAAUAUUGGGCAAUGGGCGCAAGCCUGACCCAGCCAUGCCGCGUGCCGGAUGAAGGCGCUCAGCGUUGUAAACGGCUUUUAUCAAGGAAGAACGUUAUCCCUGAGGGGGUAAGUGACGGUACUUGAGGAAUCAGCACCGGCUAACUCCGUGCCAGCAGCCGCGGUAAU
rnacentral:rRNA from 1 species